UCUCCGUAGGUGAACCUGCGGAGGGAUCAUUACUGAGUGAGGGCCUUCUGGUCCGACCUCCAACCCCAUGUUAUCCGACACUGUUGCCUCCGGGGCGACCCGGCCUUCGGGCGUCGGGGCCCCGGGUGGACCAUUCAAACACUGCAUCAUUGCGUCGGAGUUAAAGUAAAUUAAACAAAACUUUCAACAACGGAUCUCUUGGUUCCAGCAUCGAUGAAGAACGCAGC
rnacentral:misc_RNA from 1 species